AUCCAGCUGACGAGUCCCAAAUGGGACGAAACACGCGUUCUUUAU
rfam:Schistosoma curassoni strain Dakar, Senegal genome assembly, scaffold: SCTD_contig0002502